rnacentral:rRNA from 1 species
UACGUAGGGUGCAAGCGUUAAUCGGAAUUACUGGGCGUAAAGCGUGCGCAGGCGGUUUUGUAAGUCUGUCGUGAAAGCCCCGGGCUCAACCUGGGAAUUGCGAUGGAGACUGCAAGGCUUGAAUCUGGCAGAGGGGGGUAGAAUUCCACGUGUAGCAGUGAAAUGCGUAGAGAUGUGGAGGAACGCCGAUGGCGAAGGCAGCCCCCUGGGUUAACACUGACGCUCAGGCACGAAAGCGUGGGGAGCAAACAGG